AAAUAAUGAAGUAAAAUUGUUACUAUUAGUUUCGACCUAAUAAUAGAUCUAUAUUGAUCCUUAUUUA
rnacentral:tRNA from 1 species